rnacentral:lncRNA from 1 species
AAGUUCUCCAGCAACAAGUCCUUUUUCCUGUUCAGGAAAGCCAUUCAUCUCCUUAAGAGGGUCCUUCUGAUUCACAGAGAUAUCUCCUGAAGAUUCUUUUCCCUGCUGAGGCAACUCAGAAGGUUCUUUUCCCUGUUGAGGCAACACAGAAGGUUCUUUUCCCUGUUGAGGCAACACAGAAGGUUCUUUCCCCUGUUGAGGCAACAUAGAAGGUUCUUUUCCCUGUUGAGGCAACACAGACGGUUCUUUUCCCGGUUGAGGCAACACAGACGGUUCUUUUCCCUGUUGAGGCAACACACAAGGUUCUUUUCCCUGUUGAGGCAAGAUAGUGAUCUCCUGAGAUCCAC